GCAAACAUCUUGGCUUCAGACACUGCUUCCAAAUACACUGACUGUCAAUUACUUGUGAAGAUGAAUUUAGAAAAGAAUCAAAACAUUAACUACAAGGAGAAGAAUUAACACUGAAAUGAAGAAUCCCCUGCUGCCAGCUAUCAUAAUGGUCAUGCUUCUAAGUUCAAGAAAGGCUGUUGCUCCAGCCAAGCAUAAAUUGCUUCACCUGCUGUUAAUGGAAGAUGACCUGUAUUUAAGACCAGUGGAUGAUGGAUGUGGAAUCUGAAGAUGAGAAGACAAAUUUAGGGUGGCAAGUGCUUCUGGAGGAUGUUUUCUUUUCUUUAAGAAGUGCUACACGCAAGCGUCAUGAGGACAUAGACUCUCUUGUUCACUGCCAUAUCAUAAGAAGAUCCAGAUGAUAUUCUCUUCACAAAGACAUUGAAAAAUAUUUGGUGGAAGGAGCAAGAACAUCUUUGGGAAGAAAUGUAGUGACUAUUCUCUGUGCUAAGAGAUGAUAGUAAGAGAUGAUGAAAUUGGAAUAGACUCCUGGGUUUCUACUGUGAUUAUAAAAAUAAUCUCACCAUAGGGAUCUUUGGCCAUGGCAAAUUGUUAUGAGGUCUCUUAGAUUGAAAUACCUGGACAGACCAUUAAUAAAUUACCAUUAAUAGAUGUUUCUUAAUAGCCCCAGAAGUGGUGAAGAGAGGCAUGGCCACUAUGAGAGAAAAUCUCUACUUAAGUCA
rnacentral:lncRNA from 1 species